CCCCCCCCCCCCCCCCCCCUCCUCCUCUCAACUUCAUCUUUGUGUUGUUUAUUUUUCAGAGAAUGUGGUAUUGUGCAGAGUAGCCCCUCUCUGUUGAUGAAUUGAAUGUAUAGAUUAUAUAUAUAUAUAUAACAAUAGGAUUGUUUAGUUUGUAUGCUCCUCCAGUAACUCAGUUUAUUCAGGUUUCGGGAUACAGUAGUUGUGCAAAUGUGUCGACUUUCUUUUUACAUUAGCUAAUAGAAUUUAUUUCCAUUAUAUUUUGCACGGAGGAUAGAUCAGCAGGACUAAAUAAUAUGUGUCUUACCACUAUUUGAGACGGUCCCUUAAACUGCCCGCAGUAGCUGACCAAGUACCACCAAUGUUGUUUCUGCAUGUGUGAGGCCAUAAGUCAUAUCCCCAAAUUAUUGUGGUUGUGACUUAUCAUUGACACAGUAUGUGUAAACUUUUUUGGUCUAAAUGAGAAGAACAAAAGUGCCGGGGAUGUUUUUUGACCGUUUCUUUUACCUAGCUUCUGAUUUCUAUUAUCAGAAACACAUUUUUUGGACCUACAGGAAAAGAUCUGUAAAUAGAGGAUUUACCGAAGCUUUUUGAGUCCCCGAUGCAUACUAAAUACAGUAGUGUUUAUGCAUGAUAACAAUCUGGAAAAUUGCUCCAAAAUAACACUUAAAACAUGUUAAAGAAGAAGAAAAAAUCCAUUCGGAAUUCUAAAAUCAUCCUUCAGUGUAUGCAGCAAACCGUUUCCUUUAUGAUUUGAUUAAAAUCGCAGGACUUAACAUGACGCAUGCAAGGAUAUACUAAAACUAUCACACCGAAGGUGAGGAUCCUUGAUCUCCACCAUAGCGAUGAAGCCAGUGUCGGAGUCGCCAUCUUCGCCAAGGAUAGUCACAAUGACGGAAAGAUCCAUGGGAGCAAGAAGAGGGAGGACAACAUAUUUUAGGACCGUGAUGCGAGUAUUAAAGAAAUGUAUAAAUGCAUGGGCAAUAUGUUGCUAUUUCAUGACAUAUGUGCUUAUUAAUUGAACAUUCUGAUA